UACGUAGGGUGCGAGCGUUGUCCGGAAUUAUUGGGCGUAAAGAGCUUGUAGGCGGUCUGUCGCGUCUGCUGUGAAAAUCCGGGGCUCAACCCCGGACUUGCAGUGGGUACGGGCAGACUAGAGUGUGGUAGGGGAGACUGGAAUUCCUGGUGUAGCGGUGAAAUGCGCAGAUAUCAGGAGGAACACCGGUGGCGAAGGCGGAUCUCUGGGCCUGUUCUGACGCUGAGGCGCGAAAGCUAGGGGGAGCGAACAGG
rnacentral:rRNA from 1 species